UGCUAAUGUUCUCCGACACAUCGGCUAUUCAAAUGUUUCUAAUUGUUCAAUUACUAUAAUAUAUAUUUCUGAGUUUUUUACAUAUUCUUGUUUGUGUAGGUUAUCGAAUGAAAAAAGACAAUCGACUCUGUCAACAGCCAGAAAGGUUGGUGAAAGGUUUCUCACUGAGUACCAAACAAAUGGUGUGACAGGACAGUCUAGCACGUGUGAGGUAUCUGGUAUUGAUAUGAGUAAAACAUACAAAGUAAACAAUAAACCUGAGCAGCCAAUCAAGAAGACAGGUGCGAGACGAUCGCUUGCCGCAAACUUGUCACAUAAGUAGUUAUGAUGGACCAUAUUAGGCCCACUGAACUGAAUAGAACUGGAACGCUACCUCCAACCGGAAAUUUGAAGCCAACUCGAAGACCAGUCCCAGUCUUUUCACGCAUGCAAAUACAAAUAGCACGGUCAAUCUUCGACAUGAAUUUCUUGAAAACCGGAUUAACCGUUUUUAACAGCGCACACAGCUUUCUAUUAAUUUAAUGCAUUUAUCAGGUAAGACUUCCUAAUAGACUUAAAACGGCAUCUGAACUGGUCUCGCGAGGCAUAAACACGCGGGGUUUUGAUUUGGCUUCAAGAAAAGUAUUUAUUUCAAGGUAGCGUUCCAGUUACAUUCAUUUCAAUGGAACAGGCUAAUAGACCUUAUGCGUAAUGACGUCACAAGGCUUGAUGCCCGCGAGGAAUGCUGGUCUUAGUAGCCCGGGAAAAUUAAACAAUGGCAUCGAAAUUUUCCUGGGCGAUGACUACUAAGACCAGCAUUGCUCGCGGGCAUCAAGCCUUGUGGCGUCAUUUUGCAUAAGGUCUAUUGGCAAACACAUGAUUCAUAUUGAAAUGCUUGCCGGCUACCUUUCUCCCAUUCUACGCUUACAUUAUCAGAAGAGUGGUAGCGUGUAACUUAUCUGAACAUGGGUGGCAGCGAAUAUUAAACAUACGGAAUACUAUAUUAUACAUAUAUAUGCAAGACAAUGUUUAUAUGACAGCAAACGAUUUCAGAACUGUUUAAAAACUAUAAGUGUUAAUAAUAUAUAUAUAUAUAUAUAUAUAUAUCUGGAGCGAGGACUCCAGUCAUUUGGCCAAUGAGAAAAGUGAAGCCAAAAUGGCGGCCAUUGACGUCCAAUAUCUAUGAAAGUCGCAAAAACUUUUAAUACCAUUUUUUCCAGUUAAUUCCAAACGGACCGUAUCGCUAACCAAGUUAUCAGUUCAUAAAACUAUUGUGUUAUUCUUUAAAUCAAUGUCAAAAUACGAAAUUUUACGCACACUCCUUGCAGACCGCGCAGACAAAAACAACAGAAAGGGACUGAAACUGACGUCCAAUAUAGCUCCAUCUUUGGCUUCACUUUUUGGUCUUGAGCUCUCACUCCAGAAAUAUUAUACACCUCGCUGGUUGUUCAUCGCUAUAGUUACACUGGAAUCCAACAUUCAAAAACUUAGUUCCUAUUUUGUAUCAAUUGCAUACGUAAUUGUGACAUGUCCAUGUACUACUCUAUACAGUACAAUUUGCCAGAAAAGAUAUUUAUAUUUCAAAAAUAAUAUUCCCCAAUUUUUUAUUCUCCAAGUUUUGUGUAAAAUAUAAACCCUUAAGGCUUAACUCAGUCAGUGUGCCCACAGGCGGCCCAGACGUGU